CUAUAUUUGCAUAUUAGAACACACGCUAUCAGGAGAGCUCAUGAGAAUAUUGAUAAGACAUUGAAGGCAUCAGAAGUUAUAUUGUCUCAAUUUGAUAUUUCUCGUCAGGUAGAGUCUAAGAUACUUAGAAGUCCGCAUGAAGACUUGGAAAGCUACCUUGAAGCGAUCUAACAACUAAAGAGCAAUAUUAGCUUCUUCAGCAACAACAAAAGUUUUAAGAGCAGUGAUGGUGUAAUUAAUCAUUCAAAUAAUUUACUUGCUAAAGCUCUAUCAAAGUUAGAACAAGAAUUUGAGCAAAUCAUGUCAUCUUAUAGCAAACCUGUGGAACCUGAACGCCUUUUUGAGUGCCUUCCAAGUUCAUUAAGACCAUCAUCUGAGUCACCAGAUAAUGAAGGAAAUUCAGGUGGCAAACAUCAUUUUGGUCAUGAGCAGCAUCACAACGCUGAAUUAGAGGAUGCAGUUUC